AACGAACGCUGGCGGCAUGCCUAACACAUGCAAGUCGAACGAGACCUUCGGGUCUAGUGGCGCACGGGUGCGUAACGCGUGGGAACCUGCCCUUAGGUUCGGAAUAACUCCCCGAAAGGGGUGCUAAUACCGGAUAAUGUCUUCGGACCAAAGAUUUAUCGCCUUUGGAUGGGCCCGAGUUGGAUUAGCUAGUUGGUAGGGUAAAAGCCUACCAAGGCGACGAUCCAUAGCUGGUCUGAGAGGAUGAUCAGCCACACUGGGACUGAGACACGGCCCAGACUCCUACGGAAGGCAGCAGUGGGGAAUAUUGGACAAUGGGGGAAAGCCUGAUCCAGCAAUGCCGCGUGAGUGAUGAAGGCCUUAGGGUUGUAAAGCUCUUUUACCCGGGAUGAUAAUGACAGUACCGGGAGAAUAAGCUCCGGCUAACUCCGUG
rnacentral:rRNA from 1 species